rnacentral:rRNA from 1 species
GCGCACCAGUCGAGAAACUUUACAGUGUGCGAAAGCACGAUAAGGGAACUCUGAGUGCCUCCUAAGGAGGCUGUUCAGGUGUCUAAAAGCACCUGAAGGAAGGGCUGGGUAAGACCGGUGCCAGCCGCCGCGGUAACACCGGCAGCCCAAGUGGUAGCCACGUUUAUUGGGUCUAAAGCGUCCGUAGCCGGCUGGGUAAGUUCCUUGGGAAAUUUGGCCGCUUAACAGUCAAGCUUUCAGGGAAUACUGCCCGGCUUGGGACCGGGAGAGGUCAGAGGUACUCCAGGGGUAGGGGUGAAAUCCAUUAAUCCUUGGGGGACCACCGGCAGCGAAGGCGUCUGACCAGACCGGGUCCGACGGUGAGGGACGAAGGCUAGGGGGCGCGAACCGGAUUAGAUA